ACCUACGGGAGGCAGCAGUAGGGAAUUUUCGUCAAUGGGCGCAAGCCUGAACGAGCAAUGCCGCGUGAACGAGGAAGGUCUUCGGAUCGUAAAGUUCUGUUGAAGGGGAAAAAGAGCGGAGAGAGGAAAUGGUCUCCGAUUGAUAUUACCCUUCGAGGAAGUCACGGCUAACUACGUGCCAGCAGCCGCGGUAAUACGUAGGUGGCGAGCGUUAUCCGGAAUGAUUGGGCGUAAAGGGUGCGUAGGCGGCCUGCUCAGUCUGGAGUGAAAGGUACCGGCUCAACCGGUACAGGCUCUGGAAACUG
rnacentral:rRNA from 1 species